UUUUACGUAUUUUUAUUUUAGUUUUUGAAAUUUAGAAUAUUGAAAUGUUGUUUUUGGGAUUGAUUAUGUGGGUUUAGGAUAGGUUGGGGAAAAAUAAUAAGUUUUUUUUUUGUUGUGUUAAUGGUUAAGGUUUAGGGGAAAAGAUAUAUAGAUUUUGUGUAAAUAGUAUAUUUUGGUGUUUUUUUGAGGAAGGAUAUAGGAG
rnacentral:misc_RNA from 1 species